GGGUAACCGGAAGGCAUAUUUAGUGGCGAACGGGUGAGUAAUGCAUGAGAACGUAUCCUCAAGAGGGGGACAACAUUGGGAAACCGAUGCUAAUACCCCAUAAGCCGGGAGGUAAAAGGAGCAAUCCGCUUGAGGAGCGGUUCAUGUCCUAUCAGCUAGUUGGUGAGGUAACGGCUCACCAAGGCGAAGACGGGUAGCCGGCCUGAGAGGGUGAACGGCCACACUGGAACUGAGAGACGGUCCAGACUCCUACGGGAGGCAGCAGUGGGGAAUAUUGGGCAAUGGGGGAAACCCUGACCCAGCGACGCCGCGUGAGGGAAGAAGGCCUUAGGGUCGUAAACCUCUGUUGUGUGGGAAGAAGAGCGUGACGGUACCACACGAGGAAGUCCCGGCUAACUACGUGCCAGCAGCCGCGGUAAUACGUAGGGGACGAGCGUUGUCCGGA
rnacentral:rRNA from 1 species